rnacentral:rRNA from 1 species
UACCUGGGGUGCAAACGUUGCUCGGAAUUAUUGGGCGUAAAGCGCGCGUAGGCGGUUAUCUAAGUCGGAUGUGAAAGCCCUCGGCUUAACUGAGGAAGUGCACCCGAAACUGGAUAGCUAGAGUACGAAAGAGGGUCGCGGAAUUCCCGGUGUAGAGGUGAAAUUCGUAGAUAUCGGGAGGAACACCGGUGGCGAAGGCGGCGACCUGGGUCGAGACUGACGCUGAGGCGCGAAAGCGUGGGGAGCAAACAGG